rnacentral:rRNA from 1 species
CCUACGGGUGGCUGCAGUGGGGAAUAUUGGACAAUGGGCGAAAGCCUGAUCCAGCCAUGCCGCGUGUGUGAAGAAGGCCUUCGGGUUGUAAAGCACUUUCAGUGGGGAAGAAAGCCUUGGGGCUAAUACCCUCGAGGAUGGACAUCACCCACAGAAGAAGCACCGGCUAACUCCGUGCCAGCAGCCGCGGUAAUACGGAGGGUGCGAGCGUUAAUCGGAAUUACUGGGCGUAAAGCGCGCGUAGGCGGUCUGAUAAGCCGGUUGUGAAAGCCCCGGGCUCAACCUGGGAACGGCAUCCGGAACUGUCAGGCUAGAGUGCAGGAGAGGAAGGUAGAAUUCCAGGUGUAGCGGUGAAAUGCGUAGAGAUCGGGAGGAAUACCAGUGGCGAAGGCGGCCUUCUGGACUGACACUGACGCUGAGGUGCGAAAGCGUGGGUAGCAAACAGGAUUAGAUACCCGAGUAGUC